GUUGAAGAGGUUGGAUUAAAACUAGGGCUGCUAACUUUAGUUUGUGCGGUUUGACUCCGUGCUUUCUUCUGU
rnacentral:tRNA from 1 species